ACCAUGGUUGUAUUAAGAGGUUGCGAAGCAAGUUUGGUUGCUUGAGCAAAGGCACUCACUCUCCGAUAACCUAGCAACGUAGGGAGUGACACACUAACAGCCAAUCAUAUAAUAGUAUCUAUUUGGUUGCGCC